ACCGUUCGGGUAUGGCCGGUGAAAAGGGAACCCGGUGCGAAUCCGGGACGAUACCAGUCGCUGUGUGCGCCAAAGAAACGUGUUCCGUCGGUGAAAACCGGUCAUUGGGAAACUGAGAAGGCAGGAACGCGGUUUGCCGGAAUUCCGUGCGGACGAAUUCCGAUAGGGCGCAAAGUCAAAAGACCUGCUUUGGCG
rnacentral:ncRNA from 1 species